AGAGUUUGAUCAUGGCUCAGAACGAACGCUGGCGGCGUGCUUAACACAUGCAAGUCGAACGGGAUCCAGAGCUUGCUCUGGUGAGAGUGGCGCACGGGUGAGUAACGCGUGGAUAACCUGCCCUGGUAUCCGGAAUAACAUCUCGAAAGGGGUGCUAAUACCGGAUAAGCCUACGGAGCCCUCGGUCUCUGCAGGAAAAGGUGGCCUCUAUUUAUAAGCUACCGUAUCAGGAUGGGUCCGCGUACCAUUAGCUAGUUGGUGGGGUAAUGGCCUACCAAGGCGACGAUGGUUAGCUGGUCUGAGAGGAUGAUCAGCCACACUGGAAGUGAGACACGGUCCAGACUCCUACGGGAGGCAGCAGUGGGGAAUUUUGCGCAAUGGGGGAAACCCUGACGCAGCAACGCCGCGUGAGUGAUGGAGGCUUUCGGGUCGUAAAGCUCUGUCAGAGGGGAAGAAAUGAGAUUGGCUAAUAUCCAAUUUUCUUGACGGUACCCUCAAAGGAAGCACCGGCUAACUCCGUGCCAGCCGCCGCGGUAAUAC
rnacentral:rRNA from 1 species